rnacentral:ncRNA from 1 species
AAAGUUUUAUUUUUACUUAAAAAGUUGAAUAUAAUUAGAAAUUUAUAUGCAAAUUUUAGUUUAAAGAGAUUAAUUAUUUAUAUAAUAAUUGGUAAUUAAAUUUAUUCGCAGUAAAUAAUUUUAAAUAUUAAUGAGAAUUAGAUUUAGUAAAGAUUUUUAGUAUUAACAAAAUUUGUGCCAGCAGUUGCGGUUAUUCAAAUAAUGCAAUUUAAUUUUAUCAAAAAUUAAUUAAUUUAAUAAUAAGAAAAUUUAAUUUAAAUUUUAUUAGGUGAAAUUUUAAAGUUUAAGUAAAUUUAAUAUUUUGAUAAUGAAUUUAAGAAAUUUUAAUUUUAAACUAGGAUUAGAUACCCUAUUAUUUUAAAAUGUAAAUUAAUAUUUUUGAUUAUUAGUAGAUAUGGUCUUGAAAAUUAAAGAUUUUGGCGGUAUUUUAGUCUAUUCAGAGGAACCUGUCCUGUAAUUGAUAAUCCACGAUUUAAUUUACUUUUUUUAAGAGUUUGUAUAUCGUUGUAGUUUGAAUAUUUUAUAAGAAUAAUAAUAUUCAAAAUUUAAUUUUUAAAGUAAAUCAGAUCAAGGUAUAGCUUAUAGAAAAGGAGAGAUGGGUUACAAUAAUUUUAAUUUAGGAUAUUAAAUUGUAAAUUUAAUUGAAUGUGGAUUUGAUAGUAAUUUAAUUUAAAUUAAUUAAAUGAUUAUAGCUCUAAAAUAUGUACAUAUCGCCCGUCGCUUUCAUUUUAAAGUGAAAUAAGUCGUAACAAAGUAGGUUUACUGGAAAGUGAACCUAGAA